UACGGAGGGUGCAAGCGUUAUCCGGAUUCACUGGGUUUAAAGGGUGCGUAGGCGGACAGGUAAGUCAGUGGUGAAAUCUCUGGGCUUAACCCAGAAACUGCCGUUGAUACUAUUUGUCUUGAAUAUCCUGGAGGUAGGCGGAAUAUGUCAUGUAGCGGUGAAAUGCUUAGAUAUGACAUAGAACACCGAUAGCGAAGGCAGCUUACUACAGGAUGAUUGACGCUGAGGCACGAAAGCGUGAGGAGCAAACAGG
rnacentral:rRNA from 1 species